UGGCGCACGGGUGCGUAACGCGUAACCAACCUACCCGAAUCUGGGGGAUAGCCCGCCGAAAGGCGGAUUAAUACCGCAUAAAACUGCAGCCUGGCAUCAGGUAACAGUUAAAGAUUUAUUGGAUUCGGAUGGGGUUGCGUGCCAUUAGCUAGUUGGCGGGGUAACGGCCCACCAAGGCGACGAUGGCUAGGGGACCUGAGAGGGUGAUCCCCCACACUGGCACUGAGAUACGGGCCAGACUCCUACGGGAGGCAGCAGUAGGGAAUAUUGGGCAAUGGACGAGAGUCUGACCCAGCCAUGCCGCGUGCCGGAUGAAGGCCUUCUGGGUUGUAAACGGCUUUUCUCAGGGAAGAAAAAGACCAUGCGUGGUACACUGACGGUACCUGAGGAAUAAGCACCGGCUAACUCCGUGCCAGCAGCCGCGGUAAUACGGAGGGUGCAAGCGUUGUCCGGAUUUAUUGGGUUUAAAGGGUGCGUAGGUGGCCCGUUAAGUCCGGGGUGAAAUCCCACAGCUCAACUGUGGAACUGCCCUGGAUAC
rnacentral:rRNA from 1 species